AGUAAACGCUGGCGGUAGGCCUAACACAUGCAAGUCGAACGGCAGCACAGGAGAGCUUGCUCUCUGGGUGGCGAGUGGCGGACGGGUGAGGAAUACAUCGGAAUCUACUCUGUCGUGGGGGAUAACGUAGGGAAACUUACGCUAAUACCGCAUACGACCUACGGGUGAAAGCAGGGGACCUUCGGGCCUUGCGCGAUUGAAUGAGCCGAUGUCGGAUUAGCUAGUUGGCGGGGUAAAGGCCCACCAAGGCGACGAUCCGUAGCUGGUCUGAGAGGAUGAUCAGCCACACUGGAACUGAGACACGGUCCAGACUCCUACGGGAGGCAGCAGUGGGGAAUAUUGGACAAUGGGCGCAAGCCUGAUUCAGCCAUACCGCGUGGGUGAAGAAGGCCUUCGGGUUGUAAAGCCCUUUUGUUGGGAAAGAAAUCCAGCUGGCUAAUACCCGGUUGGGAUGACGGUACCCAAAGAAUAAGCGCCGGCUAACUUCGUGCCAGCCGCCGCGGUAA
rnacentral:rRNA from 1 species